CACCCUCUCCCCUUUCAGUAUCGAAGAAGCCUGAAGUCUAACUCAGAUGAGAUGGUUCUGUGGAAAGUCGGUCAUUCUUCGGAAUGAAGUCACCAUUCCUUCCCUCGAUACGUCGUCUCUCGAUUUAUUGGCCUGGCAUGUGUGUCCUCUCUCGAUUUAUUGGCCUGGCACGGGCUGAGCAGUAGGAGCUUAGACUCGAUAACAAAUGAAGAACCUCUUUCUCCGUUCUUUCCUACCACUGCCUCCCAAGCCUCAACUUUCUACCCCGCCACCGAAGAACAGGGGGCUGAAGAACCCGUAGACCAUGAUCAGCAUCACAGGAACUGGGAGCAAGGCCAGCACUCCCAGGAGCACAAUGGGAUAAGAAUCCUGGUGCCUGGGGAGACGGAGCAGAGCGGGGAGCAGGCUCUGAGGCUGACCCGGCCCCUGCCCUCGUUUCCCACUGCCAUCCUCUCUAUCACAUGUCCAGCCCAGCUUCCCGUCUCCCACCUCGCAUUCAGCAAGUGACCAGAGUGAGUUCCCGGGGCGGGUCUUCUGUGUCCUUUGCCCCUGAGGUCUGUUCAGGCACAGGAACAGACAGGUAAAAGGGCAUUGAACCCAGGCGCCCCCGGUACCUGCUGCGGGGGGAUAAUCGGUUGAGGCGAGGUCUGCUGGUGGUGGCGGGCAAUCCGGUGGGCAGGCACCCAGCCUCAGUGGACGUGGAGGCCGGGCCGGCAGAGGGGGCUCGGGCACUGCUGGGAGACGCAGUCACUGUCUGGGACCCCGUGGUCCCCCUGGGCUCCAAGGUGGAGGGGCUGGUGCCAGUCACGGAGGUCCGUCUGACGGUCCCGGUGGGGGAGGGCAAGAGUCUGGCCAAGGUGAGGAAUCCAGCUGUGAGCACCGGCACGCUGGUGGUGAAAGGGGAUUCAGGGCCUGAGGUAGGGAUGGGGCCGGUGGGGAUGACAGUUCCGCUCUUGAGGACGGUGGCCAGCUUCGUAAGAGGAGUGUUUCUCUUGGUCGUGGAGGCUGAGGAACCAGGAACAUGAGAUGAGUAGGGGGCCGUGGUGCUGGAAGCAGAUUCUGGCAGCCCACACCCUUGUCUGGGUGCGGGGGUAGGGGCCUGUCCUUGUCUCCCCUCCUUGACCUUGGACCUAGAAUUCUGUGCUGCUCAGGGACCAGGUGUGUGUAUGCUCAGCGAGUGGGGUCAGGGAGGAGGCAGUAGGCACAGGAAAGAAGGAAAAAUCGGAGUUCCCAUCAUGGUGUAGUGGAAAUGAAUCUGACUAGGAGCCAUGAGGCUGUGGGUUCGAUCCCUGGCCUCGCUCAGCGGGUUAAGGAUCUGGGGUUGCCGUGAGCUGUGGUGUAGGCCAGCAGCAACAGCUCCAAUUAGACUCCUAGCCUGGGAACCUUCAUACGCUGCAGGUGUGGCCCUAAGAAGACAAAAUACAACAACCAAAAAAAAAAAAAA